rnacentral:misc_RNA from 1 species
GAGCGCGUGAGUGGUGUUUGGUGUGUGUGGGCAUGUCGGAUCCCUGCUCCGGGCAGCGACGGCAUUUCCCCUAUACCUCUUCAUUUGUGGGAACGAGCUUGUACUCGUCCGCUGUCGGUUUUCCUGUGUUGCAUACCUAUUGCGAGGGCAUUCGGUUGGCUUAAAUUGUCCCGUCUYCGCCUUGUGCUGGCGCUCCGUGCGGGCGUUUGGYGCGGGGUGGAUCUCACGGCUUGCGUCGUGUUUCGCGCCGCAUUCACCUAUCUUGGUGUUUGGGYAGGCGACCCAYGACGUGAUGCCCGUUGUCUMGGGUACGGAACAUCGGGUGGGUUCGAGGCRUUGUCCUCCGAUCACCACACAAAUGCGUUCUACGCUUCUAUGCGAACGACUGCCGCACUCGCCCUU